rnacentral:rRNA from 1 species
UACGGAGGGUGCAAGCGUUAAUCGGAAUUACUGGGCGUAAAGCGUGCGCAGGCGGUUUGUUAAGUCUGCUGUGAAAUCCCCGAGCUCAACUUGGGAAUUGCAGUGGAUACUGGCAAGCUGGAGUACGGUAGAGGAGGGUGGAAUUCCCGGUGUAGCAGUGAAAUGCGUAGAGAUCGGGAGGAACACCAGUGGCGAAGGCGGCCUUCUGGACCAGUACUGACGCUCAUGCACGAAAGCGUGGGGAGCAAACAGG